CAAGGGGCAACGGGAGGCUUGACAUGCGAAGAAGCAGGAAUGUGUGACUUUGGGAGGGUUGGGGGGGCCGGCAAGCAGGCAGGCAUGACUACCAAGGUCAGGGUAAGCAGGUGCCAGCCGGGGUGCCCUCGUCCCUGCGAGAACCGAGUACGACUAGUCCCGGACAGUCUGGGGCCACCGGCGGUCCUGAGUCCCAGGACUUCUCCCGUGUUUGGGCUCCUCUGUCCGCCCGGCUCGGUCUCUUUCGUUCUGGGUUAUUUCAAGUGCAAAAGCUCAGCUCCGUCACUGGUUUCUAAAAUAUCCACCCACACCAAGCGUUUCUGAAUUUAUUAGCUUUAUGGCAUAUUUGUGGGGAGACGCUAUCACCUCACUGGCUGUUCUCCCCUGAGUCCACACCCCCCUUCCCUGGAAGAGGCAGACCUCCUUAUCUCUUGCAGACUACUUUCACCCGCUUCCCUCUAGAAAGUCUCGGCACCUGCCGGCUCCAUACCCUUGCGUUACUGGCUCUCGUCACUCCGCGGAUUUCUCUUUUUAGCCAAAUAUACUUUUCCUAAGAAGGAUUUGGACGCACAACAAUGUCUUCUUCAUGCUUCAUCGGCAUUAUCAUCCUUGCUCUGCAGAUGAAGAAACAGAGGCCCAGAGAAGAGUGGGAAACUGAGGCCCGGAGACGACAGAGGACCCGACCAAGCCAACCCAGCACGGAUAUUGGCAAAGGACGAGACAGCAUCUGAGAGCGUGGGGGAUGGGAAGCAGUGAGCCUCAGGUCUCUCGUCUAUAAAAUGGGAAUCCAGGAA